UGGUCCCACCUGACCCCAUGCCGAACUCAGCAGUGAAACGCCGUAGCGCCGAUGGUAGUGUGGGGUCUCCCCAUGUGAGAGUAGGGAACUGCCA
rnacentral:rRNA from 1 species